rnacentral:lncRNA from 1 species
CUCCUCGAACAGGAAAGAUGCAGUACUUUACAAUUUGCUCAAACUGGCACAGACAGAGAAAAGACAUGACAUCUUCCUUUGGAAUUAAAUUCCCUCAGGAAAAAAACCUGAAGAUUUGGGGAUUUGAUUUUGUGAGUGAAUAAAGGUGGUUGGUGGACUGAGGUCAUGAACUCCCCAAGAAGCUUUAGAAGGACGUGAAUGAGGAUAAAUUGCUUCCCUUUCCUUCUGGCUCCACAUUACUCCUGCCUCAGCUUUUGAAAUGAGAUGCAUAUGGAAACAAUUGCUCCUGGAUCAUUUCCUCUCCUCUCCAGGUGGGCUGAGUCCCCUCCACACUACUUUGUAAGCCAUGCUGCUCAACUCCAAGGUCAGGGGUUAGUACAGCCAGCCCUGAAUGGUCUGAGUCAGCCACCUGACCCUAACCCUUGCUUUUCAAAAAGGAACAUAUGCAGCAUUUCUGAGCUUCAUUAGUUGAAUGCAGCACUUAAUACAACACUUCAUCUUUCUAAGAAAUAAAUAAGAUGCAUAAUAUUUGCUCAAGGUGAAACUGCUAGUUAAAUAAUAAAAGGGAUGGAUAAGAACCUAACUGCUUGUUCUCUGACCCUCCACAGAUGCCUCAUGGGUGGCCUUGCCACCCCUCAUGAUCAUAGUCCUCCAAAUUUAGAGGUGCGAGUCAUGAAAGAUUUCCAUCUAUUCCAUUCCAUCGGGGUCCUUUUUCAAAGAAGAUACCUGGAUGGCUUCAGCCUGAGUAAAUAUGGCAAGAAUACAGAUGUCUCCCUUGGUUGUUCCUCUUCAGAGAGACUCCAGCAACAUCAAAUAUUAUCCUUGUGGACUGCAGGCAUCUUUUUGCCCCAGAAAUAGAAGCUGGCUGAGAGGGGGCUUACAGAAUUGGCAGUCAAGUAAGAAGAGAACAGGCAUCCCAUGGUAACAAAGGUCUAUUCCUGCAUGGACAGAUGGUGAGCCCUGUUUGAGAUGGAUAAGAAUCAGAUAGAAGAGGUCCAGCUCAGCCCGUUUUGACAGCCAGUGACUAGGUGCUCCCUCUUUUCUAAUGCUGUGGCAUCCGCAUGCACCUUCAAGGACUAACAUGUCUCCUGGAUGUGAGGCACAAAUGGAGAAACCCUAAAUUAACUGACCAUCAACCUAGAGUGAUUCAGAACACCUGGAAUUCAUUAGCUGUAAUAAGGUUACUCGCUUUCAGGGGGAAAAAUGGGAGUUUGAGAUACUGACUUCAUUACAGAAAAGUAAAUUGCUAUAAUUUUUCUGUUGUUUUAAAACAAAUUUGGGUAUCAUUUGACUGGAAAAUGCAUACCCACUAGCACUGUUAUUCCACCUCCACUCAACUUCUACUGGAAUACAUUCUAGCACUGUUGAAUCAUACAUCAUUUUGCCUUCUGUAUAUUUUCCCUUUGAGAAAAUAAUUAUUCCUCUAAAAAUAACUUCACCUCUAUGAAGAUGAAUUCAGACUUUCGCUAAUUUUAGUCACUAUCUUUUCCCUGAAUUCCAAAUCCACUUUCCAGCAGUUUCUAUGUAUAAGUUACUCACGCUAUUCCUGAGAUAUAAAUUCCAUUUUCUCAUCUUGGUCCUUUAAGUUGGGUCUGCAUAUUUGCCCUGGCCAGUUAAAACUCGAUGGCAACAUUUUCCCUUGAUCUCUGCCCUUUUUUUGGGCUCACAUAUGCUGCCUUCUCUCCUAGGACCUAGAUUUCUGACUCAUACUUUUAGUUUGACACCUUCCUCUGACAUUUUGGUGCUCUACACUUAUCUUUCUGUUAGUAAAUAUCUGGAUCUCCUCCUUUCCUCUCAUUCUUCACACCCAUUGAUGACUAUGUGCUCUUCAUUGAGUCUCUACAGUAUCUUUAAUAUUAGUCUCCACUUUUGAAUUAUUGUAAUCACAUGAAGGUUCACACUCAGACCACAAAAAUGUCUUCCUACCUUGGGAUCUUGCUUCCAGUUUCCACCAUUGAAAUAUAAGAGGCACUGCAGAAUAAUCUUCCUAAAGCUUCUUUAUUUAUUCUUAAUCUGGGCUCCUACAGGUAUUUUCAAGUUGGAUUUAAAGUUGGAUUAUCAAGCAAAGUUACGAACACUGAACAAAUGUUUUUUCAAACUUCGCUGUUUGAGUAGUGGAAAGUUCGCACUUGGAGCCGUUCGACAACCAAAGUAUCAAUGAAGUUGUAAUUAAGCUUUGCAGUUGUCUUGACUUAGGUUCGAGCAAUCUCACAUUUAUUUUUGUUUAAUGAUUAGGAAUGUAUGUAGCUUUCAGAACAUUUACUCACUAAAAAGGAUUUAUAUAAUCAUGAGUAGUUCCUUGAACUUUUUAAGUUUUCAUUAUGAAGGCAUGGUUACUUUAAUCAUUCACUAAAUAUUCAUAAUGCAUUUGUGAGACAACUCCAUUGAGCCAGAACUUAGGCAAAUGUUAAAAUACGGCUUCAGUUUACUGAGACUUUACCAACCUUUAAACACAUGCCUCAUGUACAUAAUGUUCUUAACACAUUUUUCAUACGUUGUAAAGGAAGAUACCACUGAAGUGGAUCUUUUAUAUUUCUCAUAUUCUAUUGAUAGAAUGAAUUACAUUAAAACAGAGAAUAAUGUCAGGGCCAUUCACAACUCAGUCCUAGAGAGUUUGUUCAAACAAAAAUUAAUGGGCUUGAGAUGGAGCUAAAUGGUAGAGUAUUUGUCUAGAAUGUGCAAAGCUCUGGGUUCAAUCUCCAGCCAGGAAGGAAGGAA